UACGAAGGGAGCUAGCGUUGUUCGGAAUCACUGGGCGUAAAGCGCGCGUAGGCGGCUUUGCAAGUCGGGUGUGAAAUCCCCAGGCUUAACCUGGGAACUGCAUUCGAGACUGCAUUGCUAGAGUAUGGGAGAGGGAAGUGGAAUUUCCGGUGUAGCGGUGAAAUGCGUAGAUAUCGGAAGGAACAUCAGUGGCGAAAGCGACUUCCUGGACCAAUACUGACGCUCAUGUGCGAAAGCGUGGGGAGCAAACAGG
rnacentral:rRNA from 1 species